CCAGGGGCUUGCGCCCCUGGCUAUUAACGGCCGCCCCUUCGGGGCU
rfam:Singulisphaera acidiphila DSM 18658, complete genome.